GAUGAACGCUGGCGGCGUGCCUAAUACAUGCAAGUCGAGCGAACGGACGAGAAGCUUUCUUCUCUGAUGUUAGCGGCGGACGGGUGAGUAACACGUGGAUAACCUACCUAUAAGACUGGGAUAACUUCGGGAAACCGGAGCUACUACCGGAUAAUAUUUUGAACCGCAUGGUUCAAAAGUGAAAGACGGUCUUGCUGUCACUUAUAGAUGGAUCCGCGCUGCAUUAGCUAGUUGGUAAGGUAACGGCUUACCAAGGCAACGAUGCAUAGCCGACCUGAGAGGGUGAUCGGACACACUGGAACUGAGACACGGUCCAGACUACUACGGGAGGCAGCAGUAGGGAAUGUUACGCAAUGGGCGAAAGAAUGACGGAGCAAAGCCGCGUGAGUGAUGAAGGUCUUCGGAUCGUAAAACUCUGUUAUUAGGGAAGAACAUAUGUGUAAGUAAAUGUGAACAUCUUGACGGUACCUAAUCAGAAAGCCACGGCUAACUACGUG
rnacentral:rRNA from 1 species